rnacentral:rRNA from 1 species
UACGAGGGGGGCGAGCGUUGUUCGGAGUUACUGGGCGUAAAGGGUGCGUAGGCGGCUUUUUAAGUUUGGUGUGAAAUCUCCCGGCUCAACUGGGAGGGUGCGCCGAAUACUGAGAGGCUAGAGUGUGGGAGAGGAAAGUGGAAUUCCUGGUGUAGCGGUGAAAUGCGUAGAUAUCAGGAGGAACACCGGUGGUGUAAACGGCUUUCUGGACCAUAACUGACGCUGAUGCACGAAAGCGUGGGUAGCAAACAGG